GAGUUUGAUCCUGGCUCAGAACGAACGCUGGCGGCAGGCCUAACACAUGCAAGUCGAGCGAAGCCUUCGGGCUUAGCGGCGGACGGGUGAGUAACGCGUGGGAACGUGCCCUUCACUGCGGAAUAGUCCCGGGAAACUGGGUUUAAUACCGCAUACGCCCUUCGGGGGAAAGAACUUCGGUGAAGGAUCGGCCCGCGUUGGAUUAGGUAGUUGGUGGGGUAACGGCCUACCAAGCCGACGAUCCAUAGCUGGUUUGAGAGGAUGAUCAGCCACACUGGGACUGAGACACGGCCCAGACUCCUACGGGAGGCAGCAGUGGGGAAUCUUAGACAAUGGGGGCAACCCUGAUCUAGCCAUGCCGCGUGAGUGACGAAGGCCCUAGGGUCGUAAAGCUCUUUCGCUGGGGAAGAUAAUGACUGU
rnacentral:rRNA from 1 species